CCUCCGGUCCUCCAGGCGGCAGUGAAGCCUCCAUAGAGCCGGUUAACAUCCGUCAGGACUCAUAGACAAGCAGCAGGAGCUCCAACAGAAGACUCACUUCCACCGAGGACUCUCUGAGCUGAGAGCUGAACCAGCUGCUGUCAGACCUCUGAAGGGUUCCGACAGCCACCGGGGGAAACUGACCUCCCGCUGCGUCACGAUGGACGAUACGACGUAUUCCUCAAGAGCAAGAAGCAGACAUGCAUCGGCUCCACUGCACCUGGGGACAGGGUGACGGUCUCGGCGGUGGUGACGGCGCGGCCGCCGUGUGCAUCAGUGUUGAAUCAGCAAAGCUGGUGAUGAUCAGAAGAGCUGGUGAUGAUCAGCAGAGCUGUGAAACUGGCUGGACGUGAAGGGAACGUCUGGAACCUGGAGUCUUUUGAAGGCCAUAAAGUACAGUAGGGUGGCGGUGUCUGCUGGUCGUGUUUUCUCCGUCUGGUCAACGGUGGUGAUUUUGUUUUGCCUGGGUGGCGGUGGCGGCUGGUCGUGUUCUCUCCCUCCAGUCACCGGUGGUGGUGAUUGUUGCCUGGUCGACCGUGAACCAGCAGCUGCUCUGCCGUCGUCUUCUCGUCACCGAGGACUUCUCACAUCAUCACAAGUUGUUGUUGUUGUUUACAAAGAAAUAAAAACAUCCAGCUGUUAAUAAUGAA